rnacentral:rRNA from 1 species
AGAGUUUGAUCCUGGCUCAGAUUGAACGCUGGCGGUAUGCUUUACACAUGCAAGUCGAACGGAUUAAAGAGCUUGCUCUUUAGUUAGUGGCGAACGGGUCGACUAAUAUAUCGGAACAUAUCCUGAAGUGGGGGAUAACGUAGCGAAAGUUACGCUAAUACCGCAUAUGCCCUGAGGGGGAAAGGGGGGGAUAGCAAGACCUCUCGCUUUCGGAGUGGCCGAUAUCGGAUUAGCUAAUAGGUGAGGUAAAGGCUCACCUAGGCGACGAUCCGUAGCUGGUCAGAGAGGACGACCAGCCACACUGGAACUGAGACACGGUCCAUACUCCGACGGGACGAACAAGUGGGGAAUUUUGGACAAUGGGCGAAAACCUGAGCCAGCCAUACCGCGUGAGUGAAGAAGGCCUUCGGGUUGUAAGGCUCUUUCAGCCGGAAAGAAAUUGCUUCUAUUAAUACUAGGAGUAGAUGACGUACCGAAAAGAAGAAGCACCGCUAAAUUACGUGCAGCCAGCCGCGGUAAUACGUAGGGUGCGAGCGUUAUUCGGAAUUACUGGGCGUAAAGCGUGGCCAGCGGUUUUUUUAAGUCAGAUGUGAAUUUCCCGGGCUUCAACCUGGGAAUUGCAUUGAAAACUGGAAGGAUUAGAGUUUAGCAGAAGGGGGUAGAAUUCCACGUGUAGCAGUGAAAUGGGAGAUAAGGUGAGGAAUACCAAUGGCGAAGGCAGCCCCUUGGUUUAUAUUGACGUCAUGCAGGAAAGCGUGGGAAGCAACCAGGAUUAGAUACCCUGGUAGUUCAUGCCCGUAACGAUGUUAACUAGGUGUUGGGGUAGGAGAGUACUUUAGCAGCGUAGCUAACGCGUGAAGUAGACCGCCUGGGGAGUACGGUCGCAAGAUUAAAACUCAAAGGAAUUGACGGGGACCCGCACAAGCGGUGGAGCAUGUGGAUUAAUUCGAUGCAACGCGAAGAACCUUACCUACCCUUGACAUGUAAGAAAGAUCGCAGAGAUGAGAUGGUGCUUGAAAGAGAAUCUUAGCACAGGUGCAGCAUGGUCGUCAUCAGCUCGUGUCGAGAGAUGGUGGGAGUAGUCCCGCAGAGAGCGCAACCCUUGUCAUUAACCACCAUCAUUAAGCCGGGCACUUUAAGGAGACUGCCAGUGACAAACCGGAGGAAGGUGGGGAUGACGUCAAGUCAUCAUGGCCCUUAUGGGUAGGGCUUCACACGUAAUACAAUGGUGGGUACAGAGGGUUGCCAACUCGCGAGGGGGAGCUAAUCUCAGAAAGCGGGUCGUAGUCCGGAUUGGAGUCUGCAACUCGACUCCAUGAAGUCGGAAUCGCUAGUAAUCGCGGAUCAGCAUGUCGCGGUGAAUACGUUCCCGGGUCUUGUACACACCGCCCGUCACACCAUGGGAGUGGAAUGCACCAGAAGUAGGUAGCCUAACCGUAAGGAGGGCGCUUACCACGGUGGGUCUCAUGACUGGGGUGAAGUCGUAACAAGGUA